UACGUAGGUGGCAAGCGUUGUCCGGAUUUACUGGGUGUAAAGGGCGUGCAGCCGGGCUGACAAGUCAGAUGUGAAAUCCCGCGGCUCAACCGCGGAACUGCAUUUGAAACUGUCAGUCUUGAGUACCGGAGAGGUCAUCGGAACUCCUUGUGUAGCGGUGAAAUGCGUAGAUAUAAGGAAGAACACCAGUGGCGAAGGCGGAUGACUGGACGGCAACUGACGGUGAGGCGCGAAAGCGUGGGGAGCAAACAGG
rnacentral:rRNA from 1 species